UUCCAUCAAGGGUAAAUGAGUAGCUGCAUUCCCCUCUAGAACUUCCAAAGAACUUUCAAAGUUCAAAAGAAAACAGAGGGAAGAGAGU
rnacentral:sRNA from 1 species